UCAUUGGUGGUUCAGUGGUACAAUUCUCGCCUGCCACGUGGAAGGCCUGGGUUCGAUUCCUGGCCAAUGCU
rnacentral:tRNA from 1 species